rnacentral:sRNA from 1 species
AGGGCCUCGGACAUAAAUGGCUGGAUUUUGGCCAUUUAUGUCCGAGGCCCU